AGAAAUGGUCAGUUGAGUAUGGU
rnacentral:siRNA from 1 species